rnacentral:tRNA from 1 species
GUGCACUUAGCUCAGUGGUUAGAGCAUCACUCUUGAAUGUUGAUGUUGCCAGUUCAGUUCCUGCAGUGCACA